UACGUAGGUGGCAAGCGUUGUCCGGAUUUAUUGGGUUUAAAGGGUGCGUAGGCGGCCUUGUAAGUCAGUGGUGAAAUAUCUCAGCUUAACUGAGAGGGUGCCAAUGAUACUGCAGGGCUUGAGUACAGAUGAGGUAGGCGGAAUUGACGGUGUAGCGGUGAAAUGCGUAGAGAUCGGGAGGAACACCCGUAGCGAAGGCGGCCGACUGGACCACACCUGACGCUGAGGCGCGAAGGCCAGGGGAGCGAACGGG
rnacentral:rRNA from 1 species